AUGAGAAUGUUGAGUCUUCUGUACUUGUUGACUGCCCUUCCUGGAAUUCUAAGCCAGGUACAGCUUCAGGAGUCAGGACCUGGCCUUGUGAAACCCUCUCAGACACUGUCACUCACCUGCUCUGUCACUGGUGAAUCCAUCACUAGUGAUUAUGUAUGGAACUGGAUCCGGCAAUUCCCAGGAAAUAAACUGGAGUGGGUGGGAUACAUAUACUAUGAUAGUACUGGCUACAACCCAUCACUCAAAAGUCGAAUAUCCAUCACUAAAGACACAGCCAAGAACCAGUUCUUCCUGCAGUUGAACUCUGUGACUACUGAGGACACAGCCACAUAUUAUUGUGCAAGAAGCACAGUGUGGUGUCUUCACUGUGAGCCCAGACAUAAACCUCCUUAA